AUGACAGAUCAGGCCUUUGUGACACUGACCACGAAUGAUGCCUACACCAAAGGUGUCCUGGCCCUGGGGUCAUCUCUGAAACAGCACAGGACCACCAAGAGACUGGUCAUACUCACCACCCCUCAGGUCUGAGACUCCAUGAGAAAAGUUUUAGAGACAGUCUUUGAUGAAGUCAUCAUGGUAGAUGUCUCAGACGCCUGAACACAUUUUUUAGCAGCUGGGCAACAACAGAUAUCAGAAAACACUUGCCAUUUAUUUAUAACCUAAGCAGCAUCUCUAUAUACUCCCAUCUCCCAGCAUUUAAAGUGUUUGGUGUAAGUGCCAAAGUUGUGCAUUUCCUGGGACAAGUCAAACCAUGGAAUUAUAUAUAUGAUCCCAAAACAAAAAGUGUCAAAAGUGAUUCCCAUGAUCCCAACAUAACUUAUCCAGAGUUUCUCAUCCUAUGGUGGAACAUGUUUACCAGCAACGUUUUACCUCUGCUUCAACAAUUUGGCCUUGUCAAAGACACCUGCUCAUAUGUAAAUGUGGAAGAUGUCUCUGGAGCCAUAUCACAUCUGUCCCUUGGCGAGAUCCCAGCUAUGGCACAGCCUUUUGUAUCCUCAGAAGAAUGGAAGGAGCAGUGGGAACAGGGCCAGGCUGAUUAUAUGGGAGCAGAUUCCUUUGACAACAUAAAAAGGAAACUUGACACCUACCUCCAG
rnacentral:lncRNA from 10 species